ACGAACGCUGGCGGCGUGGAUAAGACAUGCAAGUCGAACGAGAGAAUUGCUAGCUUGCUAAUAAUUCUCUAGUGGCGCACGGGUGAGUAACACGUGAGUAACCUGCCCCCGAGAGCGGGAUAGCCCUGGGAAACUGGGAUUAAUACCGCAUAGUAUCGAAAGAUUAAAGCAGCAAUGCGCUUGGGGAUGGGCUCGCGGCCUAUUAGUUAGUUGGUGAGGUAACGGCUCACCAAGGCGAUGACGGGUAGCCGGUCUGAGAGGAUGUCCGGCCACACUGGAACUGAGACACGGUCCAGACACCUACGGGUGGCAGCAGUCGAGAAUCAUUCACAAUGGGGGAAACCCUGAUGGUGCGACGCCGCGUGGGGGAAUGAAGGUCUUCGGAUUGUAAACCCCUGUCAUGUGGGAGCAAAUUAAAAAGAUAGUACCACAAGAGGAAGAGACGGCUAACUCUGUGCCAGCAGCCGCGGUAAUACAGAGGUCUCAAGCGUUGUUCGGAAUCACUGGGCGUAAAGCGUGCGUAGGCUGUUUCGUAAGUCGUGUGUGAAAGGCGCGGGCUCAACCCGCGGACGGCACAUGAUACUGCGAGACUAGAGUAAUGGAGGGGGAACCGGAAUUCUCGGUGUAGCAGUGAAAUGCGUAGAUAUCGAGAGGAACACUCGUGGCGAAGGCGGGUUCCUGGACAUUAACUGACGCUGAGGCACGAAGGCCAGGGGAGCGAAAGGGAUUAGAUACCCCUGUAGUCCUGGCAGUAAACGGUGCACGCUUGGUGUGCGGGGAAUCGACCCCCUGCGUGCCGGAGCUAACGCGUUAAGCGUGCCGCCUGGGGAGUACGGUCGCAAGAUUAAAACUCAAAGAAAUUGACGGGGACCCGCACAAGCGGUGGAGUAUGUGGCUUAAUUCGAUGCAACGCGAAGAACCUUACCUGGGCUUGACAUGUAAUGAACAACAUGUGAAAGCAUGCGACUCUUCGGAGGCGUUACACAGGUGCUGCAUGGCCGUCGUCAGCUCGUGUCGUGAGAUGUUUGGUUAAGUCCAGCAACGAGCGCAACCCCUGUUGCCAGUUACCAGCACGUGAAGGUGGGGACUCUGGCGAGACUGCCCAGAUCAACUGGGAGGAAGGUGGGGACGACGUCAGGUCAGUAUGGCCCUUAUGCCCAGGGCUGCACACGUACUACAAUGCCCAGUACAGAGGGGGCCGAAGCCGCGAGGCGGAGGAAAUCCUAAAAACUGGGCCCAGUUCGGACUGUAGGCUGCAACCCGCCUACACGAAGCCGGAAUCGCUGGUAAUGGCGCAUCAGCUACGGCGCCGUGAAUACGUUCCCGGGUCUUGUACACACCGCCCGUCACAUCAUGGAAGCCGGUCGCACCCGAAGUAUCUGAAGCCAACCGCAAGGAGGCAGGGUCCUAAGGUGAGACUGGUAACUGGGAUG
rnacentral:rRNA from 1 species